GCCCUCCUAGCUCAAUGGUAGAGCAGUGGUUUUGUAAACCUCAGAACAGUGUUCGAUUCACUGGGAGGGCU
rnacentral:tRNA from 1 species